rnacentral:rRNA from 1 species
UAAACCCCUUUACAAGUAUCAAUUGGAGGGCAAGUCUGGUGCCAGCAGCCGCGGUAAUUCCAGCUCCAAUAGCGUAUAUUAAAGUUGUUGCAGUUAAAAAGCUCGUAGUUGGAUUUCUGUUAAUAAUUUAUAUAAAAUAUUUUGAUGAAUAUUUAUAUAAUAUUAACAUAAUUCAUAUUACUAUAUAUUUUAGUAUAUGAAAUUUUACUUUGAGAAAAUUAGAGUGCUUAAAGC